rnacentral:rRNA from 1 species
UACGUAGGACCCAAGCGUUAUCCGGAAUUACUGGGCGUAAAGAGUUGCGUAGGUGGUUUUGUAAGCGAGAAGUGAAAGCGUGCGGCUCAACCGCAUAUCCAUUUUUCGAACUGCAAGACUUGAAUAUAGAAGAGGUACCUGGAAUUCCCAGUGUAGGAGUGAAAUCCGUAGAUAUUGGGAGGAACACCGAUGGCGUAGGCAGGGUACUGGUCUAUUAUUGACACUAAGGCACGAAAGCGUGGGGAGCAAACGGG